AGUCUAACAUGUGCGCGAGUCAUUGGGACAUGUAAAACCUAAAGGCGCAAUGAAAGUAAAGGUCGUACCUUGGUGUCGACCAAGGGAGGAUGGGCCGCGUUACGAUGCGGCCUCGCACUCCCGGGGCGUCUCGUUCUCAUUGCGAGAAGAGGCGCACCCAGAGCGUACACGUUGGGACCCGAAAGAUGGUGAACUAUGCCUGGUCAGGACGAAGUCAGGGGAAACCCUGAUGGAGGUCCGUAGCGAUUCUGACGUGCAAAUCGAUCGUCGGAACUGGGUAUAGGGGCGAAAGACUAAUCGAACCAUCUAGUAGCUGGUUCCCUCCGAAGUUUCCCUCAGGAUAGCUGGCACUCGCUCGUUCCUCUAUUGUGAACGCGUGCGAGUCUCAUCUGGUAAAGCGAAUGAUUAGAGGCCUUGGGGCCGAAACGACCUCAACCUAUUCUCAAACUUUAAAUGGGUGAGAUCUCUGGCUUGCUUGACCUAACACAUGAAGCCACGAGAUUUUGGAUCAGAGUGCCAAGUGGGCCAAUUUUGGUAAGCAGAACUG
rnacentral:rRNA from 1 species